GCCGAACGCUGGCGGCGUGCUUAACACAUGCAAGUCGAACGAAGUGGCGAACGGGUGAGUAACGCGUAAUCAACCUGCCCUUCAGAGGGGGGCAACAGUUGGAAACGACUGCUAAUACCGCAUACUGAAGGUGGAGAUUGCGUCUGAUUCGCUAGUUGGAGGGGUAACGGCCCACAAAGGGGAGGAUCAGUAGCCUGGCUGAGAGGAUGAACGGCCACAUUGGGACUGAGACACGGCCCAGACUCCUACGGGAGGCAGCAGUGGGGAAUCUUCCGCAAUGGACGAAAGUCUGACGGAGCAACGCCGCGUGAGUGAUGACGGCCUUCGGGUUGUAAAGCUCUGUUAAUCGGGACGCGGUACCGGAAUAGAAAGCCACGGCUAACUACGUGCCAGCAGCCGCGGUAAUAC
rnacentral:rRNA from 1 species